rnacentral:lncRNA from 1 species
AGCCGCUGCUGACAGAGCUCCGCCGACGGCCCCCGAGGCGGAGGGAGGCCGCCCUGGGCUGGGAGGAGGCCGCCCGGGGUCCGUCGGCUUCAGGCACCUGCGGCCGCUCCCGCUGAGGUGACCGGGCCGCCCCGCCCGCCUUCCUCCUUCUCCUCCUUCUCCUCCUCCUCCUCCUCCGGCGGGGAGCGGCGCGGCCCCGCUGUCUCCUCCCCGCGGGGCGGCGCUGGGCCGCGGGCACCGCCCGGCUCCGAGGCCCCGGCGCCAGGGGAAGGAGUAGGACUGAAGACCUGCUGGAGAGAUGACGUUCAGCCUGCAAACUUGUUUUCUCCUCAGCUGAGUGUUGCAAUUGAGAUCACUAAAUUGAUUCCUGAAUGACUGAACGGUUUGUCUAGGAAAACAGCAAGAGCGACUGAACACGGAAUGAGCAGAGUCAGUGUGGCAUGAAGACGGAUAAAAGUAACUGCACAAGGAUGGAUGAGCAAAACAGAAAAUAGAUUUUUGUUUUCACCAUCUUGGAGCUUGAAUAAAAUGGAGUAUCAGCCUGUGCUAAAGUCUCCAUUUUGAAGGCAACUCAAGGUCCUGGCAUUCCACGUGGCCCCGAAGCGAGAAGGCACGUCCCCAGGAGGUUACUGAAGAGGAAGAGGGACGUCUACAAGUGCGCCUCGUGCCAUGCCAAGCGCGAACUGGUUCCUCUCGUUUAAGCGCCUUGUUGUGAGGAGCUCUCUCUCCAGGUCACAACGUGAAGCAGCACCUACUGAUCUCUCCACCGCCAGAACUGUGCUGCCAUGCCAGCGGUCGUGCAGGGAGGGGCAUUUUCCUUCCCUCUCCCCGGGACAGAGGUGGGAUGGACACAUUCACGCCUCUCCCGUCUGUUGUAUGCUCUGCCUGGGUUCUUCACUCUGCCUGUAG